CAUGAAGUGAAAUGUAUGUGGGUGUUGAUAGAUCCAGUCAAAUAUGUUGCUGAGCUAUGUGGGUUUUGAAAGAAAUGUGUAGUAUGAGUAUAUGGUGGAAGCAAGAAGGGGUUUUAGUGAUCUGUUGAAGCUUAAAAAGGAAAAAAGAUUUGAGCUUUGUGAAUCUUGAUUGUUAUUCUGAAGUUGGGUGUUGAUAUGUGUGGUUUUGACUUUACUGUUUUGUGCUAGAUGCAAUUAGUUGUAUGCUGAAUCUCUUUUCUCCUAGCUUCAGCUGGGUGGAAAAUAGGGUAUUGGAAGUUAAAAAGUGGGUGGCUCAAUAUGGUAGUUUCCAAUCUUGAUGAAGUUCAUGUUGGGUUAUGGUUCAGGGAUAAAGUCUUAACUUUAUUGUUUUAGUUUCUCUUGGAGCCAAGUUGCUUU
rnacentral:misc_RNA from 1 species